AUGUCCGAGCUCGCGGCGGGCGCCGUGAGCUCCCUGCUGGUUGUCAUCCGCAGCGAGGCGCUGCUGCUGCGCGGCGUCCGGGACGACGUGCAGUUCAUCAAGGAGGAGAUGGAGAGCAUGAAGAGCUUCCUGACGCACCUGACCAGGUGGGCGCCCCCUGGCGGCGAGCACGACGACCAGGUACGCACCUGGAUGAACCAGGUGCGGCUGCUCGCCCAGGACUGCAACAACUCCAUCGGCCUCUACCUCUACAGGGGGAACCCCGACAUCCGCCGCGCCAGGGGCGGACUCCGAGGCUACCUCUGGUGGGCAACAUGGUUCUUCCACAAGUUGGCCGCGCAGCACCGCGCGGCCGAGGAGCUGCGCCUGCUCAAGGAGCGGGCGCGCGACGUCGGCGAGCGGCGGUUGAGGUACGGCGUGGAGGUCCCGACCAUGUCAGGCAAGGGGCAAUCGCCUUCAAGGGCAUCGUCGUCGUCCUCCUGGGCUGCUGCGGCAGGUGGCUAUGCUGCUGCUGGGGACGACGAAGAAGAAGAAGAAGGUGACGAUCAACUCGUGGGGGUGAUGGCGGUCCGCGGCCAUUCUGCUAGAAGAGCCUUCACCGAAUCUCGCAGCCUGGACGACUACGCCAAGGCAAAGCUAUGGAAAUGGGCAGAAGGAGUUCCUGCAGGUGCUGGAGAAACUUUGUCCAUGGUCGUUGUGGCACCCUACAAACAUCAGGACUUCCUCGCACUUGUACAAGAAAUUUGGGUUUUGAAAAGGCCAGAGGACUUAGGGUACCAUCGCAUUGUCUUGGUCGACAUCCUGGCCUUGCACCAUGAUUCCAUGCCGCUACGGCCCAAGGAAGUUCUCUUCUACAUUCUGCGCGAGCUCAAGCAGGCCAAAUCCAACCCCCAGGAGCAAGGCACGGAAGGCCAAGUGGAUCUUGACUCUUGGGAAGUUUAUCUAAGAAGAUGGCAAAUUUACCGUGAAAAGAAAAGGGCUAUUGCUCUUCUUGAUAUCGAGGAGAAUAUCAAAGAGAUGAAGAUUUAUGAAAAGCUUGACAAAAUCAAAAGUGGUAUUCAAAGUCGACUAGCAAAGGGCGACGGACUACCCAAGGGCGACAAGCUGCAGGGUGAUUUUGACCAGUUGGACCUAGACGUGCAACUUCAGCUGCUGCUCCAGACAGCGUCUCAACAAGAUCAAAAUGGAAAGAACAAAGACAUGCAUAGAUUACCGGCAUGGGACAAGAAGAACAUCAUCGUCAAGAAGCUUAAGGAGCAUAUGGAAGCAGAGGAAAAGGGCAAGAAGCUUGAAGAGGAAGAAGUUGCCAAGCAUAUGGGGGAGGAAGGAGAAGAAGCCACAACCAAGCAUAUGGAGGAGGAAGGAGGGGAAGGAGUAACAUGCAAACAUAUGGAUGAUGGAGGAGGAGAAGAUGCCGCGGCCAAGCAUAUGGAGGAGGAAGGAAGAGGAGCAGUAACAUGCAAACACAUGGAGGAUGGGGGAGGAGAAGUAGCCAUACAUAGGAAGAAGGAAAUGGAGGGGGGAGGAGAAGUAACCAUACAUACGGAGGAGGAUAGGGAGGAAGAGGAAGAAGGAGGCGGGGGAGGAGGAGAAACAACCGAGCAUAUGAAGCGGGGAGGAGAAGUGGCCAUACAUAGGGAGAAAGGUAUGGAGGAGGGAGAAGAAGAAGUAACCAUACAUAUGGAGGAGGAGGAGGAGGACGACGACAAAGGCGAAGACGGAAAAAAAGAAAUGCAAAGUCGGCAGACGGCAUGGAUUGAGCUCGCUGAUGCACAAUAUGCACACAUCCUGCGGAAACUGUUCCCCAAGACCAGCAGCAGCAGCAAGCCCCUGCAGGCUCAAGACAGAUCCAUGGACAAGCAAGCUACAAAGACCACGACGGCUACAUUGGGUGAGGAUCAAAUAAAAAAACUCAUCCAUGCCGCAAAGGAAGAUAUCUUACGGGAGCUGAAGCAAGGAAAAUAUGACAAGAGUGAAGGGACAGGUGAACCUGGUGCUCCGGAUCAAAACCCAGAAACUGUUUCUGAAAAUAUAUUUGCCUGUUUCGUGGAUGAGAUGAUGGACAAAAUGAAGCAUGAGUUCAAAGAGCAGCUCAAGAUCAAAGGUCUAGUGGAUGAGAUUAAACAUAACUUGAAUUAUGUUCCGUACCUGGAUAAUUAUGAAUGUCCCUUGUUUAUCCUCAAAGUUGAUGAGUUGAUGGAUGUUUCCGCAUGGGAGGAUAUCAGAAAUUCUUUAAGCCUGUUAAACUGCAGCGCUGAUUUAAUGAUCAUCACCGCCACAAAGGACACCCAGCUGGCUAAAGAAUAUUGCUAUCCACCGCGGGAACCUAUAGACUAUUCUCUUGCUGGGCUCUACCAUGAUACAGUGCUCGAGUUUAUUGGCCAGCAGAAGAAUGAAAACAGCUACAACCCCCAAAUUUUCCAAGAUAUCUUGUACAAAUGUGAGCCACAUGAAUUCUGCAUGAAGAUCUUUACUCAUGCUUUGUAUGCUAACCCCAAGAGGAGCAAUGAGGAGUUGCUCAAGCUGCACAGCACCCUGCAGGCUUUACCAACAACAUCAUUCAACAGCAUCGCUAAGGUGAUGUUCAAGUUCUCUUACAAUGACCUGCCUAAAGAAUACAAGUCCUGCUUGUUGUACCUAGCUAUCUUCUCUCCUGGACAAAAGAUCAGGCGGUCAACAUUGAUUGCACGAUGGGUUACAGAAGGGCUGACAUCCAAGGAAGAUUGGCCCAGUUCUGUGCGUCAGGCCAACCGAUGUUUUGUCACGCUCGUUGGCCGGUGCCUUGUUGAUCCUGCUGACAUUGAUGUCAUGGGAAAUGUAAAGAGCUGUGUCGUAAGUGAUCCAGUUCAUGGAUUCAUUACCACCAUCGCCAGAAAACAACACAUUGUGGAGACACGCCUGUCACAUCACUUGGCUCGCCACUUCUCCAUUUUCAACCAUCUCCAACUCCGCAGCUCUGAUAGAAUUGAUCAAUUCUUCAAGGGGCUCUCUAAAUCAUCUCAAGUGUCCCUGCUCAAGGUGCUAGAUCUAGAAGGUUGUCUGUGCUUUCUUAAGAAGAAACAUCAAUACCUCAAGGAAAUCUGCAGCAAGAUGUUACUGCUCAAGUAUCUGAGCCUAAGGAGAACAGAUAUUACCCAGCUACCCAGUGAAAUCAACAACCUCCGUGAGCUAGAGGUACUAGAUAUCCGAGAGACUAAGGUGCCUCCACAUGCAACAGCACAUAUCCUGCUAUUGAAGCUGAAGCUUCUGCUUGCUGGUCACAUUGAUCCAAGCAAUUUUGAAUCUAAUCCCCGGAUUCCUCAUAGGAUCGACAAAAUGGUAAACGUGGAGGUACUAUCCAAUGUCAAGGCCAAGCAGAGUCAUGAUUUAAAAGAUAUUGGAAGGCUAUGGCAGCUGAGGAAGCUAGGUGUGGUUAUCGAUGAUAAGGAUAGUCACCUCAAGAAUUUGCUUAAGGCGAUCAGUGACCUACAUGAGUGUCUCUGUUCUCUGUCAAUCACUACUCCCAUAGCCACACCACAUGAGGCAGAGUUGCCAGAAGUCAAUGUACCUUACCUAAAAAAACAUCCCAAGAUUCUUGAGUCUCUAAGCAUCAAGGGAACCACACAGAAGGGGCGUCUUCUUCCAUUGUUCAUAAAAGGUGAUAACAACAAACUUGCCAAGAUAACUCUAUGUCAAACUCUGCUGAGAAAAGAUGAUAUGGAAGUCCUCGCCAAGCUGCCCAAGUUAAGGUGUGUCAAGCUCCAACACAUUGUAUGCACCGAGCACAUGCUGAACUUCAAGGGCGGUGAAUUCAGAUGCCUCAAGUACCUUGUUGUUGAGGACUCGGACUUGACUAAUAUCAAUUUUGAGGAUGGUUCAGCCAGUGAGCUCGAGAAGAUGGUUUUGUCUAUCAGCAGCGAAUGCUCUAUUUCUGGAGUUGACUGUCUUCCUAAACUGAAAGAGCUUGAGUUGAACAGCAGCUUAUGCGUCAGUUUGCUUCACGAUGCCGAACAGAUAGCCAAGCUGACUCUUCGUGAUACAUUGUUAGAGCAAGCUGCUCUACAACUGCUCACCAAGAAACCAAAUAUACGCUGUCUGGUGCUCUUGGACAAGUCUCUUGGUGGAACAAAGAAUGAGAUUACAUUAGAAAAAGAUGAGUUCUUAUGGCUCAACCUCCUUGUUGUUGACUGCUCAGCCAUCACCAAGAUUGUCUUCAACAGCGGGUCUGCUCCUAGGCUCGAGAAGAUUGUCUGGUCAUCUUCCACAUCUCUCUCCGGCAUCGACAACCUUCCAAGAUUGAAGGAGCUUGAGUUCAACGGUGACAAAGUCCCCAAUGAGGUGAGUGAGGCCAUUGAAAAGCAUAAAAACAAGCCUAGUUUUAAACAUAAUGGACCGGAAACUCAAAACGAAGCAAAAGGAGAUGGAGAAGAGGAUGACGACGAUGCUGCAACAUUCUCCUGCUGGAAGAAACAGGUUUGA
rnacentral:rRNA from 1 species